UAAUGAUAUUUCAACCCUUGAUGUUGGUUUACCUGGUGGCUGCUUCUCGUCUGGUUCUGAUAUUCUAGCUGUCAAUGAUUCGUUUCAUGAGGUUUCCUUUCAGCCAGACUACUGGGAGAUGUUGUGUAUGCCAAUAAACACUCAAAUCCCUAUUGGCAUGCAAUGAUGGGUCGCAAAUCUUCAGAUAAUCUGGAGUUUCCGAUUCUUUUUCCCACAAAGUUCUUGAAUAAUUUCAUUGGUGACCAAGAUUAUUAUCCUGUGUAGAAACAACAUGCACUAUACUUUCAGGUUCUCUAUUCUACUAGAGCCAUUGGGAGGAGUGUAUGACAUUGAUAGCUAUAGUGGAGUAAGAAGUGAGAAGAACACUGAAUUACUCCAUGGAUGGGUAGUAGGUUUUUUCUGCAUUAGUACUGCAGCAUAGAUAGUGAACCGCAACAUUUUAGUUGUAGGAGAACAUCGUGUUGAUGUGUAAAUUGGUUUACUGAUUUACUGUUACUGUUUUACUGCUUUACUGCUUACAGCUGGAAUGUCUAAGUAACAGCUUAGAUGUAUUUUCUGCUAGGAGAAUUUUGUGUGGCUCAAAUGCCUAUAGGAAAUUGCCAAGUGUCAUACACACAUUGGUGGUUCAAUUUUGUACCUUUGCUGAUGUAAAUCGUUUGAUAAAAAGAAGAGAAAUAUAGCUGAGCUUUUUAGCACAGCAGCUAAUACGUUUUUCUGCAGAAACAUAUAUUCUUCCAGCUCCUUCUCUCAUCUCCUUCCCUUUUUCUCCCUAAAAUCCAAAUCAGUACCUAA